CUUUAGUUAGCUUAAUUUAAAGUUUUAGAUUCUUAAUCUAUUUAGAUAGCAGUUAAAGUCUGUUACUAAAGA
rnacentral:tRNA from 1 species